GGCACCGUCAACACCCUGGAGACUCCAUGCAGAAAUGAAAGCUCUGUCUAAAAAGUAGCUGUAAGGAUGUGAGGAGAAAUCAUUUUCCAGAAACAAGGAUCCCCCAAGAGGAAUACAGUUUCUGCAAGGAGAGAGAAUAAACCUGAACCUCCAGCAUCUGUCUCUGGAUCAUGAGGCUGCCUGAUAAAAGAGCCUGCAUGAAGGAAAGCUGAAUGAAGAGGUGGAAAGAUUGAGGCAAAGUUCUGAUGACAUCAUCUGAGUGCCUAGAUCCAGCUGUGCCUGAAGUUUUGGAAGGUGCCCAAAAGACUGUCCAGAGUGUCCCAGCCUUCUCCGACAGUGCCGGGAAACAAGAGGUGGCUGCUGCCGUUUGCAAGUAUGGAUGAAGGCCUGAGUGGUCCCGGGCAUUCAGGGCCAGGAAGGCAGGAGGGGAGGGGCUGGGAGGAGGGGGCGCUUUG
rnacentral:lncRNA from 1 species